GAGGGAUGCAACACGAGGACUUC
rnacentral:siRNA from 1 species